GUUGGGAUUAAAUGAUCAAAUGGAUCCCUAGUGACAACUCAUCAGUAGACUUUGUCCCUAGUUUCACCAGACAGAGGUUACAUAAGUCUUGAUCAUCCCCUAUUUUUAUAUAUAUAUGCUAAAUCGUGUCAAGAACCCAAUUUUUUUCACUGAAGUAAACCCUAGGAAAUUUGAUGGGCCGUCAAAAUUAAAAGUGUAUUGUAGAAACUGACAUGCAUCAGGUUCAAAUGAUUUGCAGAAAAAAGAGUGAAACUAAGGUCAAAGCUGAUCAGAAUUUGAGAAGACAAGAUAACUUUUUCUUCUUCUUCUUGCAUUUGCAUACAUAUACACACUUACACACACACCCACACAUAUAUAGAGGAGAGAGUACUAAAUCUAGCUAGAGAGAUAUUAAAUGUAUCAACAAGUGAAAUCUGGUUUUCUAAAUUAACCAAACCCUAAUCUUGGCUCUCAAUCCCCACUUUGUUAUCAUUUGAACUAGGAUCUUGUUUAGUUAAAAUUAAGAAAACAAGAUCAAGAAAUAGAGUAGGAGAAGCGUACCUGUUGUUGGCGUACUCAUAGAGA